rfam:Pelodiscus sinensis unplaced genomic scaffold scaffold2737, whole genome shotgun sequence.
CCAAAGGCUCUUUUAAGAGCCACCCACUUUGUCUAAAAAGAGCAUU